rnacentral:lncRNA from 1 species
GUUAGGAAUUGAACCUGUGUCCUCUGCAAGAGCAGCCAGUGCUCUUAAUCUUAAUCCAAUCUUAAGAUGGAGAACCAUCUCUCUAGUACCUCCUUUUAAAAAAACAAACAUUUUUAUAAGUUCUUUAGGAACUUCACACAAUGUAUUUUGACCACAUGACUUCCCAACUCCUCCCAGAUCCACCCCAACUUCUUGUCUUCUUAGAUUGUUCAUUUAAAAACUCCAAUUUUUGCUCCACACAUUUCUAGGUGUAGGGCUAUCCAAUGGAGCACAGUCAGUCCACCAGGAGCUGCACCUUCAAAAAAACCAAACUCUCUGGGCUAAAAAGGUGGCCAAGCAGUUUACAGGACUUGUUGCUCUUGUAAGAGGACCCAGGUUCAAUUCCCAGCAACCACAGAGUGGCUCACAACCCUCUGUAACUCUGGUCCCAGAAGAUCUGAUACUUUCUUCAGACUUCUGUGGGCACCAGGCACACACGUGUUGCACAUACAUACACAUAGCAAACACAUCCAUACACACAAAUAAAAUAAAAUACACAUAAACACUCAAAAUAAAAUACACAUUAAAUAGAUGUGUAUUUUAAACAAACCCCAUAGCCCCUCCCCCCUGUCAGUUAGGGGUAGAGCUUGUGACCUCAUUCCAUGCUAGAAUGUUGACUGAGGUUCUCCUCUCACAACGGUCCGCUGUGGGUUGUCUCCAGAAGUGGGGGAUGGUCUCUACGAGGUACUUUCCCUCUGCAGUGAGCUGGCUGGUCCAGGAGGGAGGUAGCCGGAUGUAAGUUUCUGACUUUUGAGCAUCUUGGUCUGCAAGCAAUGUUCAGCAACCCCACUCACUUCCUUGGAAGUCAUAUGCAUGUGCAAAGGGGCUCAGAGCCAUCGUCCCCAGACGAGCAGCCUCUGCCCAUCAAUCCGGUGGUUCUGUGUGAGGGAGUGUGUUAUACGUGAGGGAGUGAUCCCUGACAGGUUUUGUGGAUGAUAGUUAAUUGCCUCUUUCGUGGGAGCCAUGAGGUUUAUUAGGGAGGUUUUUGCUGCUUUCCACUGUGAGAGUUUUUUGCGCCAGUGUUUGAUGAAUGGUUGUUUUCAUGGCUGCCAAGAGCUGCUGAGUAAGGAUGUAGCUGCCGACGUUCGUUGCCUUGCUGUUUGUCCAACAACUCACUGUCUCCCAGCUGGAAAGCUCAUUACUCAUGAGCUCUUCUUUCCCAGGUACAAGAACAUAAAGAUGUAUUUAUGGAGCACCGUUCAAGGGCAACAGGAGCAAAGCUGUUGAUCAAAAAGAAUUAUACAGUCAAAGAGUGCAUUUACAUACAAAAGACGAAAAUGCAAAUGCUAAAGAGAACCCGAAGACAUGUGCCAAACAUUCUUUCCUUUUUCCAUUCAUUAAGAGAAGGGGAAGCACAAUUCAUACAACGUAGAAUUCCACAUAACAGUUUUCACUUCAAGAUGAAUUUUACAGAGCUAAUAUAAGCCAUUGCUACCAGCUCAUUCCAGAAUAAUUUCAGCCUCAAAAGAAACACUGUGUAUCUUGUCAGUAACUCCGAUUUCCCUCUUUGCAGCAUAAAGUCUGUUCACACUAUUCAUUGGGCAGCAUGAAGUCUGUUCACACUGUUGGGAAGCAUAAUGUCACACUGUCUGUUGGGGCAGCAUGAAGUCUGUUCACACCAUUUGUUGGGCAGCCAUCACCACUGCCCCAUCUGCAGAGCUCUUCCCAUCUCACAGGAUGGAAAUUCUCACUAAACAACUCGUUUCCCUUCACUUAUUAUUUAUGCAUUUUAAUAAACAGUCUGACUAUGUAGCUCAGGCUGGCCCAACAACUCACAAUCCUCCCUCUGACUUGCUAGUACUAAGGGUGCAGGUUUGCACCACCAAGCUCAGGUAGACACUGACCAUCUAGUGUGUCAGGUCUCUAUACUUGGUUUAAACUGGAGAUGCCCAGAUGUUGAAUGUCUGCUCUCAGAAGCUCAGGGCACCACGGGAGAAAUGCAGGGUGAUGGCCGUCUACCAGAGGUAGGACAGAGUUCUGUCCAAGCAUAGAAAAGGAGGCGAGGGGUUAAAUGAGAGAUGCCACCAAAGGCAUUUAACAGGAUGUGGGUGGUGAGUGGGAGGUGGUCAGGGGCACGCCCUCCACAGGGUCUCUGCUCUUCUCAGCUGCUAAUGUUACUUUUGUAUAAUCUUCCUUCCAC